CAGUAGCCACGGUAAAACGUAGGUGGCAAGCGUUGUCCGGAAUUAUUGGGCGUAAAGGGCUCGCAGGCGGUUUCUUAAGUCUGAUGUGAAAGCCCCCGGCUCAACCGGGGAGGGUCAUUGGAAACUGGGAAACUUGAGUGCAGAAGAGGAGAGUGGAAUUCCACGUGUAGCGGUGAAAUGCGUAGAGAUGUGGAGGAACACCAGUGGCGAAGGCGACUCUCUGGUCUGUAACUGACGCUGAGGAGCGAAAGCGUGGGGAGCGAACAGGAUUAGAUACCCGGGUAGUCCCUGUCUCUUAUAC
rnacentral:rRNA from 1 species